GCUUAGUGACCGGUGUCCAGCGCAGGGGCCACUGCAGACUGAGGGCCGAGGCUGACCUCGGAGGGAAGCAGCGCAGAGAACUACGAAUGCCCUAAAGCAGGGUCCUGCCCGCGCUGACCGGCCGCCGCCUCAGCUGCUUUCGGCUGGAACCUCUUGCCGCCUUCGUACGUUAAGCCAUGGCUUAUUUAAGAACACGGCGUUUAACUUCCAAAUGUUUUCUCUCGUCCGCUUACACUUGGUGGAUGACCGGGCUCACGCCGGGCACUCGGCUGUGUGUCGCCCACGUCCUGUGAGAUUUUGUGCUGUUGCCACGCUGCCUUUGCUGCUGCAUCCCUUGUGUUUCACGGGCUGCGUGACCCACUGAGCGUCCUUCAAGGCACCUGGCUCUCCUCCGCCAACUCUACUGCGCAGGCACACUUUCUGGCUGCAGAACUUCUAUCUGGCUCUUCAAAAACACAGAUUUCUACUUCUUCAUGACGUUCUCCCUGGCGAGGGGUACGAGCUCUUUGGACGAGUGAUGGCCGCUCUCAGGGACGCCUGUGUGGGGCCUUCUCACAGCUUGUUCAGAACGGGACAGCACACGCGGCGUCUGCACUGGGACCGACCCUCCUCAGCAGACAGCCGCCGCCGCCGCUGGUCUCCUGGCUCCCGGCUCCCCGCAGGGUGUGACCACCACGCUCCUCUUGCUGGGGCUCACCCUGGCUGGUCGGGCUUCGUGGCCCCUAAUUACCAGCCGAAGGCUGCCUUACCUGCUGGAGCUGGGCGGGGAGCCCCCACGUUCCUUCAGGGAAGCCCGUGUGUCCCGGCCCGCUGGCCCUCGGCUGGUGUUGUAGGGUCUCAAGGUCAGCCAGAGGUGACUGACAGGGCCUCUUGUCCAGUCCUCAGCGGGAGCACUGCGUGUGGCCCAAUCCCAGCUGCACUGAGGGCGGGGUCUUGGUGGAGCGGCUGCAGGGGCGUGGCGGGCAGGGGGCUGGGUCCACUGCGCGUCACAGAGCAGCUCCCCUCUGCCUGCCGUCCGUCUGGUCACUCUCCACAUUCCAACUGGGCUGGUUUGGUGAUUUCCCUGUGUUUCUGCUGCUUUCUGGGUGGUUCUCCCCCACAGUGGGCCCCAGAGUGCCCCUGGGGGGAGAACUGUUCAUCAGCGGAGCCGCGACGCGGCUGCCACGGCACUGUGGAAUGGAGCCGCAGGCCAGGCGGGGGUCCUGGCUGACCUUGGCAUCAACGUCCUUCUGUGGAAGCCGAUGCUGUGCGGGCAGAUUGGCCUGGCCACGGGAUUUUCCAGGGGUUGAAUGUGGAAACGAGACAUCGCACGUCAAAGCCACUUUGGGAAGCGGCCGCGUCAGCUGCUAACUGCUGCUCCCACUGGGUUCUCGGCUGCCGGCACGGAUGUGUCAGGCUGCACUGGGCACAGCUUUCCCACCA